GUCGAGAAUUUUUCUCAAUGGGGGAAACCCUGAAGGAGCGACGCCGCGUGGGGGAUGAAUGGCUUCGGCCCGUAAACCCCUGUCAUUUGCGAUCAAACCUCACGACUUAACACGUCGUGAGCUGAUAGUAGCGGAAGAGGAAGGGACGGCUAACUCUGUGCCAGCAGCCGCGGUAAUACAGAGGUCCCAAGCGUUGUUCGGAUUCACUGGGCGUAAAGGGUGCGUAGGCGGUCGGGUAAGUCUGACGUGAAAUCUUCAAGCUCAACUUGGAAACUGCGUCGGAUACUAUUCGGCUAGAGGAAUGGAGGGGAGACUGGAAUACUUGGUGUAGCAGUGAAAUGCGUAGAUAUCAAGUGGAACACCAGUGGCGAAGGCGAGUCUCUGGACAUUUCCUGACGCUGAGGCACGAAAGCCAGGGGAGCAAACGGGAUUAGAAACCCCAGUAGUCC
rnacentral:rRNA from 1 species